UUAUGGGUAUGGUUAUUUGUUGCUUGUGCUUAUGGAACUAUUUAGUGCUAUCUACUCUUGGGUCAAUAUGGUUGCUCUAUGUCGAUUGAAGGAUAUUACUUAGUUUGGCUAUUCGGUAUCUUCAGAACUUGCUCCUACACUACGAGUAGGGAGGUUAUCCUGUUGGCCAUUGAAGGUCGAUGAGCUCUACGGCAGCCUCCUUCCUUUGGCUUUCAGAGCUCUGUUCCAUGUUGGUUGAGAUUAUGGAUG
rnacentral:misc_RNA from 1 species